AUGAACGCUGGCGGCGUGCCUAAUACAUGCAAGUCGAGCGAACGGACGAGAAGCUUGCUUCUCUGAUGUUAGCGGCGGACGGGUGAGUAACACGUGGAUAACCUACCUAUAAGACUGGGAUAACUUCGGGAAACCGGAGCUAAUACCGGAUAAUAUUUUGAACCGCAUGGUUCAAAAGUGAAAGACGGUCUUGCUGUCACUUAUAGAUGGAUCCGCGCUGCAUUAGCUAGUUGGUAAGGCAACGGCUUACCAAGGCAACGAUGCAUAGCCGACCUGAGAGGGUGAUCGGCCACACUGGAACUGAGACACGGUCCAGACUCCUACGGGAGGCAGCAGUAGGGAAUCUUCCGCAAAGGGCGAAAGCCUGACGGAGCAACGCCGCGUGAGUGAUGAAGGUCUUCGGAUCGUAAAACUCUGUUAUUAGGGAAGAACAUAUGUGUAAGUAACUGUGCACAUCUUGACGGUACCUAAUCAGAAAGCCACGGCUAACUACGUG
rnacentral:rRNA from 1 species